rnacentral:rRNA from 1 species
CCUACGGGAGGCAGCAGUGGGGAAUAUUGGACAAUGGGCGCAAGCCUGAUCCAGCCAUGCCGCGUGAGUGAUGAAGGCCCUAGGGUUGUAAAGCUCUUUCGGCGGGGAAGAUAAUGACGGUACCCGCAUAAGAAGCCCCGGCUAACUUCGUGCCAGCGGCCGCGGUAAUACGAAGGGGGCUAGCGUUGCUCGGAAUCACUGGGCGUAAAGGGUGCGUAGGUGGGUCUUUAAGUCAGAGGUGAAAUCCUGGAGCUCAACUCCAGAACUGCCUUUGAUACUGAGGAUCUUGAGUUCGGGAGAGGUGAGUGGAACUGCGAGUGUAGAGGUGAAAUUCGUAGAUAUUCGCAAGAACACCAGUGGCGAAGGCGGCUCACUGGCCCGAUACUGACACUGAGGCACGAAAGCGUGGGGAGCAAACAGGAUUAGAUACCCUGGUAGUCCACGCCUUAAACGAUGAAUGCCAGCCGUUGGUGGGUUUACUCAUCAGUGGCGCNGCUACGACUUAGUACAUCCGCCGUGGGAGGCGACGGUCGCGAGAAGUUAAACGUACGAAAGAAAGUUAGUAGCGUUGAGAGNGCCGACGGACGACGACGAGGGAGGAGG